ensembl:snRNA U6 U6 spliceosomal RNA
GCACUCACUUCAGCAGUACAUUUACUAAAACUAGAACGAUGCGGAGAAGACUAGCACGGUCCUUGCACAAGGAUGGCAUGCACAUCCUGGAACAGUGUAUAUUAAAG